rnacentral:rRNA from 1 species
UGCAGCGACGCCGCGUGAGGGAUGACGGCCUUCGGGUUGUAAACCUCUUUCAAUAGGGACGAAGCGCAAGUGACGGUACCUAUAGAAGAAGGACCGGCCAACUACGUGCCAGCAGCCGCGGUAAUACGUAGGGUCCGAGCGUUGUCCGGAAUUACUGGGCGUAAAGAGCUCGUAGGUGGUUUGUCGCGUUGUUCGUGAAAACUCACAGCUCAACUGUGGGCGUGCGGGCGAUACGGGCAGACUAGAGUACUGCAGGGGAGACUGGAAUUCCUGGUGUAGCGGUGGAAUGCGCAGAUAUCAGGAGGAACACCGGUGGCGAAGGCGGGUCUCUGGGCAGUAACUGACGCUGAGGAGCGAAAGCGUGGGGAGCGAACAGGAUUAGAUACCCUGGUAGUCCACGCCGUAAACGGUGGGUACUAGGUGUGGGUUUCCUUCCUUGGGAUCCGUGCCGUAGCUAACGCAUUAAGUACCCCGCCUGGGGAGUACGGCCGCAAGGCUAAAACUCAAAGAAAUUGACGGGGGCCCGCACAAGCGGCGGAGCAUGUGGAUUAAUUCGAUGCAACGCGAAGAACCUUACCUGGGUUUGACAUGCACAGGACGCCGGCAGAGAUGUCGGUUCCCUUGUGG